rnacentral:rRNA from 1 species
GAUGAACGCUGGCGGCGUGCCUAAUACAUGCAAGUCGAGCGAACAGACGAGGAGCUUGCUCCUCUGACGUUAGCGGCGGACGGGUGAGUAACACGUGGAUAACCUACCUAUAAGACUGGGAUAACUUCGGGAAACCGGAGCUAAUACCGGAUAAUAUAUUAACCCACAAGGUUCAUUACUGAAUGACGAUUUUGUUGUCACUUAUUAUAGGAUCCCCGCCGCAUUAGCUAGUUGGUAAGGGAACGGCUUACCAAGGGAACGAUGCGUAACCGAAAUAUGAGGGUGAUCGGCCACACUGGAACUGAGACACGGUCCAGACUCCUACGGGAGGCAGCAGUAGGGAAUCUUCCGCAAUGGGCGAAAGCCUGACGGAGCAACGCCGCGUGAGUGAUGAAGGGCUUCGGAUCGGAAAACUCUGUUAUUAGGGAAGAACAAAUGUGUAAGUAACUAUGCACGUCUUGACGGUACCUAAUCAGAAAGCCACGGCUAACUACGUG